UCCGAUGUAGUGUAGUGGCUAUCACGGUUCGCUUUCAUUUCAGACCUUUCUGGAACAGAGCGCCGAGCAAACCGGGGUUCGAUUCCCCGCAUUGGAG
rfam:Candida albicans SC5314 chromosome 3 sequence.